UACGUAGGCGGAAAAUUAAGUCAGUAGUGAAAUCCUGCAGCUUAACUGUAGAACUGUUAUUGAUACUGGUUUUCUUGAAUAUAGUUGAGGUAGGCGGAAUGUGUAAUGUAGCGGUGAAAUGCUUAGAUAUUACACAGAACACCGAUUGCGAAGGCAGCUUACUAAGCUAUGAUUGACGCUGAGGUACGAAAGCGUGGGGAGCGAACAGGAUUAGAUACCCUGGUAGUCCC
rnacentral:rRNA from 1 species